rnacentral:rRNA from 2 species
GGGUUGCGGACAGUGUCUGGUGGGUAGUUUGACUGGGGCGGUCUCCUCCUAAAGAGUAACGGAGGAGCACGAAGGUUGGCUAAUCCUGGUCGGACAUCAGGAGGUUAGUGCAAUGGCAUAAGCCAGCUUGACUGCGAGCGUGACGGCGCGAGCAGGUGCGAAAGCAGGUCAUAGUGAUCCGGUGGUUCUGAAUGGAAGGGCCAUCGCUCAACGGAUAAAAGGUACUCCGGGGAUAACAGGCUGAUACCGCCCAAGAGUUCAUAUCGACGGCGGUGUUUGGCACCUCGAUGUCGGCUCAUCACAUCCUGGGGCUGAAGUAGGUCCCAAGGGUAUGGCUGUUCGCCAUUUAAAGUGGUACGCGAGCUGGGUUUAGAACGUCGUGAGACAGUUCGGUCCCUAUCUGCCGUGGGCGCUGGAGAACUGAGGGGGGCUGCUCCUAGUACGAGAGGACCGGAGUGGACGCAUCACUGGUGUUCGGGUUGUCAUGCCAAUGGCACUGCCCGGUAGCUAAAUGCGGAAGAGAUAAGUGCUGAAAGCAUCUAAGCACGAAACUUGCCCCGAGAUGAGUUCUCCCUGAGACUUAGAGUCUCCUGAAGGAACGUUGAAGACGACGACGUUGAUAGGCCGGGUGUGUAAGCGCAGCGAUGCGUUGAGCUAACCGGUACUAAUGAACCGUGAGGCUUAACCUUACA